rnacentral:misc_RNA from 1 species
AAAGCAUAAGGUCUAACAUUAAUCUUUUCUGCAGUUUCACUUUCUAUAGAAUUAAUUGUCAUAUCCAUUAAGCACUCCUUUGGAUUUACUUAUAGAUAAUUCUUUGACCUUCAGGCAAGAAAAGUUCCAUUCCACUGAUACAAGGGAAACAGAUAGCAUCAGCAAAAUUCUUAUGGCUAAAUACAAUCCAAGAAAAAUGAGUAAAGCUCAUAAUUUCAAGAAACAGAAUUAUUAUUCGCUGAAGAAAGAGGCUUUAGCAACUGGUGUUCCUUUCAGUGAUCCACUUUUUCCUGCUGAUAAUGUAUCACUCUUUUAUAGUGGAAAUUCUUCACGUCUUCCUGGUCGUGUCAUUUGGAAGAGACCAAAGGAACUAUGUUCUACACCAAGACUAUUUGUAGAUGGAAUUACUAGCUGUGAUGUUGUUCAAGGUUCACUUGGCAAUUGUUGGUUCAUAGCUGCCUGCUCUUCAUUAGCACAAGAGAAGGAAGCAUGGCAUAAAGUAAUUCCUGAUUACAGAGAGCAAGAGCAAUGCUUUACAAAUCCACAUUGCUAUACAGGAAUUUUUAAAUUUCGUUUUUGGCAGUUUGGUGAUUGGAUAGAAGUUGUAAUUGAUGAUCGCCUUCCAACUGUAAAUGGUCAAUUGAUAUAUACUCAUUCACAUGAAAAAAAUGAAUUUUGGGGUCCUCUACUAGAGAAAGCUUAUGCAAAGUUGAUGGGUAGUUAUGAAGCCCUUGAAGGUGGAAAUUUGUCAGAUGCAUUAGUAGAUUUCACAGGAGGUAUUUCUGAACAAAUUAAUUUACAAAAAGGAAUGUAUAAUUCUGAUUUGGAUAAACAAAAAAAAUUAUUUAAAACAAUGAUGGCAGAAAUUGAAAAGCAUUCAUUAAUGUGUUGUGCAAUUAAUGCUCAGAAUAAAGAAGAAAUGGAAACACGUACUUCAUUCGGAUUAGUGAAAGGUCAUGCCUAUGGCAUUACUGCAGUUAAAUCAGUAUAUAUUGGAGACACUGGUUUAAUAUCUUUUUUCAAAGGAAGAGAGAAAAUUUUUAUGGUCCGUUUAAGAAAUCCUUGGGGAGGGCAUGAAUGGACUGGUCCAUUUAGUGAUGGCUGGUGUUAUAGUUCAUCAAAAUUGACCAAACUUCUUUCUAGUUCACCAGAAUGGUCAAAAAUAUCUGAAAGUGAAAGACAAAGAAUAGGAUUAACUUUUGAAGAGGAUGGAGAAUUUUGGAUGCCAUUUGAAGAUUUUUGUACUCAUUUUACUGAUCUGUCGAUGUGUUUAUUAGUAAAUACUUCAUGGUUCAGUUUUAGCAAAAGCUGGCAUGAAAUGUCACUUUAUGGUCGAUGGACAACUGGUGUGAAAGGAUCUAAGUAUGAUAAUGCUGGUGGCUGUAUUAGUAAUGAAGAAACAUUUCUAAGAAAUCCACAGUAUCGUUUUGAUAUAACUGGUGAAAUGGAUUCAAUUAUGAUAUAUCUUCUUCAGAAAGACAAGAGAAAUAUGAAGAAAGAUAAUAUUAAAAAUUGUACAAUAGGAUUUUCUAUUUUAAAGGUGGAAUCAAAUAGAAAGUAUAAAGUUCAUAAGAUACAAAAUGUAAUAGAAAAUUCUGAUUAUAUUCGAACAAGAGGAGUAUUUAAAAGAUUAACACUUCAUAGAGGUCGAUAUGUUGUCAUCCCAACUACAUUUAAUCCAGGAGAAGAAAAUGAAUUUCUUUUACGAAUCUUUACAGGCAAAGAUGCCAAUGUUAAGACUCUUUGACUGCUUUUCAACAUUCUGCUUAAUUGCGUUAGCUUUUUUGGUUUUGAAAGUUUGAGAAUAGGUGCAUUCUGCUUCACCAAUGUGUUUAGUUUUUGUCGUCAUUCUGAGAAGAAAAAUGACAAAAGAAAUGCCCAAACAUAGUUUCUUUCCAUGUAUUUCAUAUCCUUGUGCCAUCACAGCAAUUACAAUUAGAAAAGCUACUGGUUUGGAAAAAAGAGAUUUAUUUGCAUCCUGUGAUCCUUAUUG